rnacentral:rRNA from 1 species
AUCCAGAGGGUGCAAGCGUUAAUCGGAUUUACUGGGCGUAAAGCGCGCGUAGGUGGCUAAUUAAGUCAAAUGUGAAAUCCCCGAGCUUAACUUGGGAAUUGCAUUCGAUACUGGUUAGCUAGAGUAUGGGAGAGGAUGGUAGAAUUCCAGGUGUAGCGGUGAAAUGCGUAGAGAUCUGGAGGAAUACCGAUGGCGAAGGCAGCCAUCUGGCCUAAUGCUGACACUGAGGUGCGAAAGCAUGGGGAGCAAACAGGAUUAGAUACCCUGGUAGUCCAUGCCGUAAACGAUGUCUACUAGCCGUUGGGGCCCUUGAGGCUUUAGUGGCGCAGCUAACGCGAUAAGUAGACCGCCUGGGGAGUACGGUCGCAAGACUAAAACUCAAAUGAAUUGACGGGG